CCCAUGGAUACAGCCUGGCGAUGCAUUUAGAAUGAGGCAAUUACACAAUUUUACACACGCACGCAUCCUACACACUCAGUCAUACACACUUAGUACAUUUUAUUAUAUUCAGAGUUGUUGGAUUUGUUAUUAUUAAUGUAUAUGCAGAGAGAGAGAGAGAGAGAGAGAGAGAGAGAGAUUCCUAACAAAUAUUAAUGCAGGGAUGAGUCAUCCUCCACAGCAUCACACACACACACACACACACACACACACACACACACACACACACACACACACACACACACACACACACACACACACACACACACACACACACACACACACACACACACACCUCUUUAUUCAUAGUUUAGUCUGUCUCUAUCUGGCUCUACAUGUUCAAUGUAGAGCGAGAGAUGUGUUCAUCUACAAUUCUUCAAUUCAAUUUGUGAUUGGAUGUACAGAGAUGGUAUUUAAAGCGGUCCGUCUGUCUGGAUGUACAGCGUGUGUACAGACACCAGCAGGUACCUGAAGGUGUGCGGUCGCUAUCGACAGAACGUGAAGGUACAGAAAUACACAGACGUCUUCACAGUGGUCGUCCUGAGAGGUUUGGGAUCAGUCAGUGAAGUGGAGCUGGCAGGUCUGUCUCUCAGGAGCAGGUCUGUCUCUCUGAGGAGCAGGUCUGUCUCUCAGGAGCAGGUCUGUCUCUGAGGAGCAGGUCUGUCUGUCUCUCUGAGGAGCAGGUCUGUCUCUCAGGAGCAGGUCUGUGGAGGUGUAUAGAGCCCUGGUAGCUAGUGCUAACCCUGUUAGGAGCAGACAGACAGCCAGCAGCUCUGCCUCCGAGGGCCGGCGGAGGCAGCGUGUCGAGGGCGCCGGGUCGGGGGCCAGUCCCAGGUGGUUCCUGGGACUCCUGGGGAGGUUUCGCUUAUGAAUUCUUUAUUUUAGCCUGAAAUCCCCUGCAAAAAUCCAGCUCCUCCAAACAAUAAUGAAACGUUUCAUGAACACCUCAGUUGGCCAUUUGGCCCAGAAGGAAGAAGGCUUACAGAGCUUCAGGGUCCUUCAGAGGAGAGACGCUGGGCCUCCUCUUGACCCAGGGGGCUGUGUGUAGCGCGCAGAACCAGGAGGAAACUGCUCUCACAUGGAUCCUUCAACAUUAC
ensembl:lncRNA